rnacentral:rRNA from 1 species
AAGGAAUAUUGGUCAAUGGGCGCAAGCCUGAACCAGCCAUGCCGCGUGCAGGAAGACGGCCCUACGGGUUGUAAACUGCUUUUGCAGGGGAAUAAACCCCGGUAUGUAUACCGGGCUGAAUGUACCUUGAGAAUAAGGAUCGGCCAACUCCGUGCCAGCAGCCGCGGUAAUACGGAGGAUCCAAGCGUUAUCCGGAUUUAUUGGGUUUAAAGGGUGCGUAGGUGGCCUGUUAAGUCAGGGGUGAAAGACGGUAGCUCAACUAUCGCAGUGCCCUUGAUACUGAUGGGCUUGAAUGAACUAGAGGUAGGCGGAAUGUGACAAGUAGCGGUGAAAUGCAUAGAUAUGUCACAGAACACCAAUUGCGAAGGCAGCUUACUAUGGUUUGAUUGACACUGAGGCACGAAAGCGUGGGGAUCAAAC